GACGAACGCUGGCGGCGUGCUUAACACAUGCAAGUCGAACGGAAAGGCCCUGCUUUUGUGGGGUGCUCGAGUGGCGAACGGGUGAGUAACACGUGAGUAACCUGCCCUUGACUUUGGGAUAACUUCAGGAAACCGGGGCUAAUACCGGAUAGGAGCUCCUGCUGCAUGGUGGGGGUUGGAAAGUUUCGGCGGUUGGGGAUGGACUCGCGGCUUAUCAGCUUGUUGGUGGGGUAGUGGCUUACCAAGGCUUUGACGGGUAGCCGGCCUGAGAGGGUGACCGGCCACAUUGGGACUGAGAUACGGCCCAGACUCCUACGGGAGGCAGCAGUGGGGAAUAUUGCACAAUGGGCGGAAGCUUGAUGCAGCAACGCCGCGUGCGGGAUGACGGCCUUCGGGUUGUAAACCGCUUUCGCCUGUGACGAAGCGUGAGUGACGGUAAUGGGUAAAGAAGCACCGGCUAACUACGUG
rnacentral:rRNA from 1 species